rnacentral:lncRNA from 1 species
CCUUUGAGCGCUGGUUUGUCCUAGGACAAUCGGAUUUCACCGGGUCGGGGAAGGUGUGAUUAUGAAAAUAAACAAGGGAAGUGAGGGAAAUAUAACCAAGUGGAAAAAGGAAAUGGAGUGCAAAUUGAGAACAUAAUCCAGAAUUCGUAAAAGUGGUAUGGAUAAAGAAGGUCAAAAUGGUCUCUGAUGAAAAGAAACUUUUAAAAUGCUUGGAAAAGUUAAUGAAUUAGAUUUCCCUGCACUUGAAGAUAUUAGGAUUGGGAGAUCAAGACUCCCAUCAGCCAAAUCAAGAAUAUUCACAAUUGACAGGAAAACUCAAAGUUUCUUUUUCCCCACCAGAGAAAUGUCUCCCACCCCCAUAGCUAAACAGUGGUAAGUCAUAGAAAUGAUUAUAUUAGCUUAAAGAGAAUGUUUCCUAAGCAAUAAACUUCAAGUGCACACAACCUAGUUUUUAUUUUAUUUAUUUCAUGUAGUUUGUCAUAAGUGCUUGAAAAUACUUCUUGCAAAAAUGUCCUUUUUAACUUUAUAAAACUUGUUUUCUGCUGUGGAUAAAAUUACUAUGUGAUAAACUAUAGUUUUUUUUUAAAGUCUUUGCAGCAAUAAUGAAAGUUCAAUGAAAAGAACAUAACUAGAAGCGAUGUGCAACACCCCUUUAUUUUUAAAUAGCCUUUAAAUGAUUUACGAAAUAAAAAUGCUAGUUCAGUUUCCCUUAAAUAACCAGUAUUUCACCAAAUAUUUUCUGCGUUCUUAAAUGUUCAAA